CAGAAGGAAAGAUUGUCUCUUGUUUCCAAGCAAGAAAGGUAUCAACAAAACUCAAGUCUUUCAAAGCGGAUCUAUAAUUCUAUUGCAAAGAGUCCUUGGCGCUGCUGAUUCUGCUGGGCUUGAGCUAACGUUGAAGAGAUCCUAACCCCGUAAGAACUCUGAGCUUCUUCCAGCUAAGUGAAAAUAGUAUCCUGAGGUAACUAUAAUAUAACUAGGUGUCCCUGAUUGGGAAGCUAGGAGAGUAGCUAGACCCUUGGCAGUCAAUGAGAGCCU